CAUCAGAUCCCAUUACAGAUGGCUGUGAGCCACCAAGUGGUUGUUGGGAUUUGAACUCAGGACCUCUGGAAGAGCAGUCAGUGCUUUAACCACUGAGCCAUCUCUCCAGCCCCUGAGAAGUAUUCUUUAUUGUGAGUUUUGCCUACAUGCUUUCCUUCCACCCAACCUCCAAGGCUCUGCUCCACCAGCAAACCCUCUGCUAGAGCACAGGGGCUGCCUCACCUCGUCUUUGAUUUCUUCAGCCAGAGGAAGAACAGAAACCAGCUGGCUGUCUCUACAUGGAAAGCGAGUGUCAGGAUGAAAGUCUCGGGGAGAGAAUAACUGACAGGAGCAUGAUGUGGACUUCAGAAACGAAGGAAGACAUGACUACACUUCAGUAGUCUGGGCUACAGAUUGGAGAGCUAGGGAAACUGCUCUUUGACCAAUAAUUCAGCACGAUUGUGACAAUCCUCAUUAUCAGUACUCUAUUAAAAUGCUCUAAUUGAA
rnacentral:lncRNA from 1 species